rnacentral:sRNA from 1 species
GCGAGUUUUGAAGCCGCGGGGCCGGGCGGCUGCAAUAUGGCGGAGGCGGAAGGGGAAAGCCUGGAGUCCUGGCUCAAUAAAGCCACCAAUCCUUCCAACCGCCAGGAGGACUGGGAAUACAUAAUUGGCUUCUGUGAUCAGAUCAACAAGGAGCUGGAAGGGCCACAGAUCGCCGUCCGACUGCUGGCCCACAAGAUCCAGUCCCCACAGGAAUGGGAGGCACUCCAGGCCCUGACGGUGCUGGAGGCAUGCAUGAAGAACUGUGGGAGGAGAUUUCAUAACGAAGUGGGGAAGUUCCGCUUUUUGAAUGAGUUAAUCAAAGUCGUCUCUCCAAAGUACCUGGGGGACAGGGUGUCUGAGAAAGUGAAGACCAAGGUUAUUGAGCUGCUGUACAGCUGGACCAUGGCCCUGCCAGAAGAAGCAAAGAUCAAAGACGCCUACCACAUGCUGAAGAGACAGGGCAUAGUGCAGUCUGACCCACCAAUUCCUGUGGAUAGGACGCUGAUCCCCUCUCCACCACCUCGUCCCAAAAACCCUGUUUUUGAUGAUGAGGAGAAGUCCAAGCUUUUAGCCAAGCUGCUGAAAAGCAAAAACCCAGAUGACCUGCAGGAGGCCAACAAGCUCAUCAAGUCCAUGGUGAAGGAAGACGAGGCACGGAUCCAGAAGGUGACCAAGCGUCUGCACACGUUAGAGGAAGUUAACAACAACGUGAGACUGCUCAGUGAGAUGCUGCUUCAUUAUAGCCAGGAGGACUCUUCGGACGGGGACAGAGAGCUGAUGAAGGUGGGACCGCCGACGGCAAAGGCUGCCUCCCAGGGCUGCGCUGUCCUCCAGGAGCUCAGCCAGCAUUUGCUGAGCACGUGCCUUGUCAGAGACACGGGCUGUGCACUUGGCAGUGUAUUCAUGACCUUACUCAUCUGCACAGCAGCCAUGUCAGUAGAGGGUGGCGUCCCCAUUUGCCUCCUAGGAUCAGCUGACUUGUCCAGGGUGUAAGGGCCAGAUGGAAACCUGAGUCUGACUCCAGAGACCACACCCUCGGUGCUCACCCCUGCUCUCUUCCUUUCCUUACUACCUUGGGGACAUCAAGACAGAGAGGCUUCCUUGUAACCCUGAUGCCCAUGUGGUGCAGGCCAUGGUUGGGUGGAUAUUUUGAGUUCUGAGGAACAUGCCAGCCUGGAAGGCAGGAGGGGACUGACUUCCCCUGACCCAUCCUGGUGACUGCUACCUAGACAAACAUCCUGGGUGAUGUGGUGUGGUGGUGGUGGCUGGUGGCAAGAAGAUGUGCGCUGUGAUCCCAGCUUUGCUGGUAAUUGACCGUGGCAAUUGGCAUAUCCCGGUCAUUUUCUGGGCAUGAACCCUGAAUGAAUCAGAUGAUCUCUAAGGGCCUUUGUGGUUUGAUUUUUAUGUCCGAGUCUCUUUCAGGAGCUGUUUGAUCAGUGUGAGAACAAGAGGCGGACUUUAUUUAAACUCGCCAGUGAGACUGAGGACAAUGAUAACAGUUUGGGGGACAUCCUGCAGGCCAGUGACAACCUCUCCCGGGUCAUCAACUCUUACAAAACAAUUAUUGAAGGGCAGGUCAUCAAUGGCGAGGUGGCUACCUUAACCCUGCCUGACUCGGAAGGAAACAGUCAGUGCAGUAACCAAGGCACGCUCAUCGACCUUGCGGAGCUGGACACGACAAACAGUUUGUCCUCCGUGUUGGCCCCAGCACCCACUCCACCCUCCUCAGGCAUCCCAAUCCUCCCUCCACCACCCCAGGCCUCAGGACCUCCACGGAGCCGCUCCUCUAGCCAGGCCGAGGCCACCCUGGGGCCCAGCAGCACAAGCAACGCCCUCUCCUGGCUGGACGAGGAGCUGCUCUGCUUGGGUGCGGCCCACGGGGGCGUCAGGGGCAUCCCCUGACAGGGCUCUGGGAGGAAGGGUGUGUGGAAUUAGGAGCCCUGAGCGGGGCCCCAGUGUGACUGUUGGGGUGGGCAAAGAACCCUGAGUUGAAGGUACUCAGUGAAGUUCAGCGACCCUGAGGGCCCCAGGGCCAUCCUCCCGGUGAACUCUGCCUCCUGCCCUGCACCCCGCCCCGCAGGCCCCCCGCUUCUGCAUCGUGGACUGGAGGGCUCCAUUCCCCUCUGGAGGCUGCCUGCAGAACAGCUUCUCCCUGCGCCUUCACCCAUUGAUGUCACUUGUCACCUGACCCCUCCUCAGGCAAGGCGGGGCUAGGGCUGCCUAGCUUACAGCCUUUUCUCAUCCUGUUUUCUUCUCUAUUGUCAGGCCUCGCCGACCCAGCCCCUAAUGUUCCUCCCAAAGAGUCAGCUGGGAACAGCCAGUGGCACCUGCUCCAGGUAGGGGCACAGGAUCGGUGACAGCACUACUGUGCCAAGGACCUCCACUUUCCAGCGUCAUGUCUCCUGGGCUGCAGUUAGCUGUCCUUCCCCUCCAGAGCGUGCCAGCUGCAGCGGGGAACAAUGAGUGCCUCCGGGGCUGUCUUCCAUGCAGUCCUUGGAGGGCUGCGCCCCGUUCCAGCGGCAGGCCCUCCCCACCCGCCCCCGGCUCACCACCCUUUCUGUUGCUCAUAGAGGGAACAGUCCGACCUGGACUUCUUCAGCCCCAGGCCGGGGACCGCUGCCUGUGGCGCCUCCGACGCUCCUCUGCUCCAGCCCUCAGCCCCCUCCUCAAGCAGCUCCCAAGCUCCACUGCCGCCUCCCUUCCCAGCUCCUGUGGUCCCAGCCAGUGUUCCUGCCCCCAGUGCGGGCUCCUUCUUGUUUUCUACUGGAAUGGCCCCAGCCUUGGCCCCAAAAGUUGAGCCCGCAGUCCCUGGGCACCAUGGCUUGGCGUUGGGCGACAGCGCGCUGCACCACCUGGAUGCCCUUGAUCAGCUUCUAGAAGAGGCCAAAGUGACCUCGGGCUUGGUGAAACCCACUACCUCCCCUCUCAUCCCCACCACCACCCCAGCCAGGCCCCUCCUGCCCUUCUCCACGGGGCCCGGCAGCCCGCUCUUCCAGCCACUGAGUUUCCAGUCCCAGGGCAGCCCCCCGAAAGGGCCUGAGCUCUCCCUGGCCAGCAUCCACGUGCCCCUGGAAUCGAUCAAGCCUAGCAGUGCCCUUCCUGUGACAGCCUACGAUAAAAACGGCUUCCGCAUCCUCUUCCACUUUGCCAAGGAGUGUCCCCCAGGACGACCUGACGUGCUGGUGGUGGUGGUGUCCAUGCUGAACACGGCUCCCUUACCUGUCAAGAGCAUCGUGCUGCAGGCUGCAGUGCCCAAGUCAAUGAAAGUGAAGUUGCAGCCACCUUCUGGGACAGAACUCUCUCCAUUUAGCCCCAUCCAGCCACCUGCAGCCAUCACCCAGGUCAUGUUGCUGGCCAAUCCACUGAAGGAGAAGGUGCGGCUUCGGUAUAAGCUGACCUUCGCCCUGGGGGAGCAGCUGAGCACAGAGGUGGGCGAGGUGGACCAGUUCCCUCCUGUGGAACAGUGGGGGAACCUAUGACCCCAGAGGACGCUGUGAUCUCCACCUUGAAGCCAGGCAGGCUGCCCUGAGACGAGGAGGGCUCUGGUCCCGUCACUCUCCAUGCCCUGACAACAGUGCUUGUAGCUUUGAUGUGGAACAGGGGCCCUGGGCAUUUCUGCUGAGAACCAAACUGCUGCUGUGAUAACCUCUCCUUUGGCCCCUAAAAGGACCUGUUUUUAUCUACCUAUGUGACUUGAAGUGGCCAUAUGCUGUCAGGGGUGGGGAGUGGCCCCUGACUUCACUGCUGUCCCAGGAACAUGGACCCCCAGGCUUGGCGUAGGUGUUUGCUUCCUUCUACUGGCAUUCACUGAAGCCACUGGGGUGGGGGGUGGGAGUCUCUAAAGAGAGACUGUCAUGGGUCAUUCCCCACAAGAGCCACAUCCUCACACCUGACAGAUGCACGGCCCAAGGGGCUGCAGCCCUGUUGCAAUUCCAUGCUUCCCCCGCCAACCAGCUCCUGCUGCCAUCCCCAGGGAGGUGGCCCAGGAAGGUGCCUGGCCCAGAAUAAGGAACUGGCAUACUGCAAAGUCCCCAGCCCUGCCUCUGGUGUACAGCAUCAUCCUGGAAUGGCCACGGAGUGAUGAGUUGUGUGCUUGUCCCUGGCAGUGGCAGGCUGUGUCCUAUGGACAUCUUGGCAGGACAUGGAAUUUGGCCUCAUGACAGGCCCAACUAGGGAUAGGAAGGAAAAUGAAGAGAGCCAGUAUUUCCCCUUCUCCAGAAGCAGGUACUCAGCUUUCUGGGAAAAGUGUGCCUCCAGCCGUGGGGACAGGCCAUCCUACUGACUACCUCUUGCUUGGCAUGAAAUAAACUGCUAUCCUCCCCUUGGAAUCUACCGCCACUCUACAUCCUACUGCUUUGGCCUCCCUCUCCUCUCACCAGAUGGCAUGUGGUGUGGCACCUGUGGCUGGACACAGGAGGCCUCAGGAUCACAAAUGUUACACUAGACAUAUGUCCUAAUGUGCUGCCCAGAAACCUCAACUGUUCCCCAGCUACUGAGGGGCACUGUCAGCGAGAUGUUGGGUCUGGAGGUGAUGAGAUCGGGCCACACUUGAGCUGAGUCACCAGACCCUAUUGCUUCAACAGUGCUUGGCCCCCGCCAGCUUGUCCCAGCCACUCUAGCUGCUGGAUGUGAUCCUGGGACAUGUACUCCAAGCCUCCGUCACAAAAAAAAAAAAACACACACACACACAAAAAAACACCAGCUGCCAUAGACACGGGGGAAGCUUGCGGAGCCCAGGUGAACAAGCUCAGCAAUCGGACAUCUCUGGGGAAAGGAAGGUGGCACAGACCACAUUCCCUGGUUCCUCCCUGCCCCUUGCCAGGCUUCCUUAUUCCAUACUAUGGAAGAGGUCAUAUCCCUUCCCUGCCCCUCGCUGUCUUUAGCAAGCAGGUUUCACUGCUUCAAUAGAAGAGGACAAGUCAAAAGUGAAUCAUUUUUCACUACUUAAGGAAUAAAUCCAAGAGCUUUCCAGAGACUGGCUGCUGCAGCCCUGGGAAUGUCUAUGGAAUUACUAUGUGGAAAUGGAACUUUGUGUUAUGCUCUAGACAUUACAGUUAUUUGAGUGUUACUCGUUACUAUUGAGGUCAAUGCUUCAUGGCAAAUGGCUGUACUGGAUAUACCAACUCUGCUGCCCUUGUUUUGCUGCAUGUUAAAUAAAACCAUUUUCACU